rnacentral:rRNA from 1 species
GAUGAACGCUGGCGGCGUGCCUAAUACAUGCAAGUCGAGCGAACAGACCAGGGGUUUGCUCCUCUGACGUUAGCGGCGGACGGGAGAGUAACACGUGGAUAACCUACCUAUAAGACUCUGAUAACUUCGGGAAACCUGAGCUAAUGCCGGAUAAUAUAUUGAACCGCAUGGUUCAAUAGUGAAAGACGGUUUUGCUGUCGCUUAUAGAUGGAUCCGCGCCGCAUUAGUUAGUUGGUAAGGUAACGGCUUACCAAGGCAACGAUGCGUAGCCGACCUGAGAGCGUGGUCCGCCAGCCUGGAAGUGAGACACGUCCCCCACUCCUAGGGGAGGCAGCAGUAGGGACUCUUCCGGAAUGCGGGAGAGCCUAAUGGAGCAACGCCGCGUAAGUGCUGACGCUGCCAGGCUCGUAAAACUCUGUUAUUCGGAGAGAACAAAUAUGCAAGCACCUAUGACCGUAUUGACGGUACCCGAACAGAAAGCCCCGGCUAACUUCGUG